GUUAGAGGAAGGGGUCGGCCUGACAGGAGCAGGAGCUGAGCUGGCUGGAGGCUGCAGUUGUGAAGCUGGUCUAACGGGGAGGAGCCAUGAGGACAUCCAGGGGAGCUUUAAUCGUGUUCUCGUGGCUGCAGCUGAGCUGGUUCAGCCGAGGAGAGACUGUGGAGCAGCGGCCUUCGACCCUGAGUGUGCGACAGGGACGCAGCUCUGUCAUCAACUGCAGUUAUUCAGACAGUGCCUCAGUCUACUUCCCUUGGUAUAAGCAAGAGCUUGGAAAAGGUCCCCGUCUCCUUAUAGACAUUCGUUCAAACAUGGCCACAAAAGAAGACCAAAGGCUCACUGUCUCACUGAACAAGACGGCCAGACAGCUCUCCCUGCACAUCGCAGACUCGCAGCCUGAAGACUCAGCUGUGUACUUCUGCGCGGCAAGCACACACUGCUCCCCAGACACCUGCUGCCUGCACUCAAACCUGCCAGUGGGGCAGCCCCUGGCCUUUGACACAGACCUUCCAGGAGGGCGUUUGUCCUUUGUUGGUCUGCAAGUGGAAGCUAAUGUGUUAGGCAGUAAAAGCAUAUGUUCAGAUUAGGAUGGAGAUGACCCAUUCCUGAUUCACAUAAAAUAACCACCUUAUGCUGGAGUCAACACAACAGGGAGAACAUAAGAUAAUAAUCACAGAUUCGGGUGCCUGAGUAGCUCUGUGGGUUAAGCAUUGAACUCUUGUUUUUUGUUGUUUGGUUUUUUAGAUUUUAUUAUUUUCUUGGAAGAGAGGGAGUGAGAACAAGCAGGGGAAGCAACAGAGGGAGGAGGAGUAGCAGGGUCCCCGCCAAACAGGGAGACUGACGUGCUGUUCAUCCCAGGACCCUGGGAUCAUGACCUGAGGUGAAGGCAGAUGCUUAACCGACUGAGCCACCCAGAGCCCCCAACUCUUGGUUUUGGUUGAAGUUAUGAUCUCAGGGUCAUGAGAUCAA